CGGGUGGGUGGUGAUUAAUGAUAAAGCCCAUGGAAUGGGCUGGCUGUUGCUGGGGCUCUCGUGUGCUGGAGAAAGACAAUUCUAAAAGGCUGAGAGUGAUUAAUCACUAAUUUAAGGCCAAGUGUGGAAGCCAAGGGCCUCCUUAGCUGCAUAUAAAUCCUCCUCUCCUGCAGCUGGAGGGGAGGGGAAAGCUAAGGAGCAGGCGCGGAGCUUAAUUAUAAGCAGAGCAGAAUGUCAGGGAAGGCGGAAGUCUCAGCCCAGGAUGAGUCUUCAGCACCAAGGUCAGGUCCUGCUCUUUCCUCAGAAAGAAGUGUCUCUCCAAGGAAGUGUCCCCUUGGAGUCCAGAAUGCGCCCUGCUGGAGGAUGACGCGGGGAUCCUGCCUUAGAACUAGCUUGUUCCUCGCCUGACUACCAGAGCAAUAGCUAAGGUCUGCUUCUACAGAAGACCAUCCACAAUCAAUCACCCCCAGCCUUUGGGAGCACACCUUCAAAGGACUCUCUUCACUGGGAGGAGGGGUCAUCUCCUCUGCAUCCAGACUGCAUAGGUGUGAAUCCUGCCUCUGCCACUCACCUGCCAGUGUGACCUCAGGCAAGUCACUUGACCUCAGUUUCCACAUCUGUAAAAUGAGGUGACCUCAUACGGUUACUGAGAAGACUAAAUGAGUUAAUAAAUGUGGACAAACAGAACAGCGCCUGGCCUACAUCAGAGGCCCUCAAACACCCUCAGGACCCCUGGCACUGCUCUGCAGGGCCUGCCUCACUUCUCCAUGCCCUCCUGACACCACAGUUACCUCCUCUCCCAUCCCAGCAGGUUUC